GCUACAAGUAGUCAAGUUUCUUCCUUAAGGAGACCUGAAGAGGAUGACAUGGCUUUCUUUGAAAGACAAUACCAGGAAAGGAUAAAAUUGGAAAGGGCUGCUAAGAAGAAAGGAAAAGCUCCUUUGCCAUCAACGACAAAACCUUCAUGAAGACUGUUGGAGAAUUAAAGCCGUCAGCCAAAUGUGUCUUUUUCAUGUUUAUUUAAAUGUAAUAAUACAGUUUAUUAUUUCACACACUAUUUACUUUUUACUGUAUGAAUUUCUUUUGAUUGUUUCCUUAAUUUAUUUGAAUAAGUAAAAUGCCUUCAAAAUUUA